rnacentral:rRNA from 1 species
CCUGAGAGUACUAUCCGGGAGUCACACGGCGGGUGCUAACGUCCGUCGUGGAGAGGGAAACAACCCGGACCUACAGCUAAGGCCCCUAAUUCGUGGCUAAGUGGGAAAGGAUGUGGAAAUCCCAAAACAACCAGGAGGUUGGCUUAGAAGCAGCCAUCCUUUAAAGAAAGCGUAACAGCUCACUGGUCUAAAUAAGGGUUUCUGCGCCGAAGAUGUAACGGGGCUCAAGCCACGAGCCGAAGCUUAGGGUGUGAUCCGCAAGGGUCACGCGGUAGCGGAGCGUUCUGUAAGCCUGCGAAGGGCGACUCGUGAGAGCGCCUGGAGGUAUCAGAAGUGCGAAUGCUGGCAUGAGUAACGACAAACACUGUGAAAGACAGUGUCG